GGGUUGAAAUUUUGCAGGGUUGUUGAAAUCAAAUUUAGGGACUUUACUGACGGGACUCUGGGCUGGCUGCUCUGUUCACUAGUCAGCGCAAGUGGCGUGACCAUGUAAUUGGGGCACGGGGCCGGCGCGGCGCGCUGCGGGCUUGCAGAAUUUUGUUUGUUUGUUUGGCCGCGCGCUGGCGCAGCCACGGGCCGCAGUUACUGGGGCGCGCUGUCGUAACAAGCCGCGCGGUGUGGCCUGCACAUUGGGGUAGAGGGGGGGUAGUCUUCCCAGAUGUUCUAGUUAGUUGUUUAGUAAAUUUGACUUCAAUAACGAGCUUUUGUUAUGGUAGGCGCGGCAGGGCGCGCGAAUUUAAGCGCAAGUGAGUGGUGACUCGGGGCUCACUCAGGCGGAGGCUAUGCGUCUCACCUGUGGUCACGAGUUGUUAGUUCGUUCGUGAUGUAGGAAUUCAAGCUUUCGGGCGGAAGCUAUGGCCGACGCCAGAGGCCACGAGUCGUUUAAUUUAAGUUAGGUCAUAAUGUAGUCAUCUUCAAGCUUUCGGGCGGAGGCAAUGGUCGACGCCAGAGGCCACGAGUCGUUUAAUUUAAGUUAGGUCAUAAUGUAGUCGUCAAGCUUUCGGGCGGAGGCUAUGGCCCUCGUCAGGGGUCACGCGUCAUAGUUUUUAAAAUGUAAUGUUCGUUCGGGAUUUCAAGGGCAGGAGAGGCCCCUACGUUAUUUUUUUAAAGUAAUCGAUCAAGAAAGGCUUUUCGGAAAAUGUGAGUAUGGACUUAUCUUUGUUUUAAUUUUAAGUAUUAAUUAUGAUUUGAGGUAUUCGGAAGGACUAGGGAAGUGUUGAGUGAAGUUCUCUCAUUCUCUCUCUUGUAAGGUCGUUCAAUCGUUAAGGAAGUAAAGAGAUUAUUGUUUUAAAUUGUAAUCCCGCUAUUUAAAUGUUCUUUAAAAUGAUGUUGAGUAUUUGACUUUAAGAAUAAAAUAAUUUUAAUUAAGUAUUAUGUUAUUUUGCAAAAUCUCCUUAGUUCAGCUCUCACCAGACAUCCUGUACGGGAUGACGAACCUAUGAUCCUAGGUACAGUAAAGUAUUUUAUGAAGUUAAGACUAGUUGAUGCCAAGCGAGUUGUUUCUAUGUAAAGAGCUACGAUUCUCGCCCCCCCCCCUCUGAAGGUGGAUCGUGACAGAAAUGGUAGAGUUCGCCGGAUAGGUUCUAUUUCUGGAGAGAGAGAGAGGUAGAUUUUUAUGUUUAUUAUUAAGUUAGUUUCAGCUUCUGAUAGCAGGUUAUUAAGAGUUUACUUGAGGAGAGGAUUACGGAAUUUUAGUCUAUAGUGGAGGAAGUCUUUGAGAUUUUUUUUUUGACGUAACAGAUGUUUAUUUGAGGAUACUUGUAAGGAUAAAGUUUAUAGUGAUAAGUUGUUUUAAGUCGUUGAAUUUAUUGUAGAUUUAUAUCGGGGAUUAUUACGUGAGGAGAAUACGUUAUAAGUUAAAUGCUUAUUAGAGAUAAUGCAAGUGGUUUAAUUUAAUUGAAGUUCAUUUUAAGAUUGUAGGUUAAGAGAAUUAUAAUUUAAAAUAAAGUUUUUUGUCGUAAAUAGGAAUUAUUUUCAAGAGAAGUUUGUUUUGUUUUCGUGCGCGUAGGAGACGAGACGUACGAAUUAAAUCAGUCGAGGGAAGGAUAAACGUUAGAAAGGAAUUAAAGAGAAAACGAGAGUUUAUGUAAAAGAGAGUUAUAGAAUUUAUAGUGAUGUUUUGUUUUAAUUAGAAAAAUGUUGAGAGUUGUUUCAGAACGACACGUCAGUGGACGUGGCAGAGUGAACACGUGACGGGGAGGUGCUGAGACCUAGCGGAGAACGGAGGAACCGCAAGCGAGGGUUGGCGCACCUGAUGGAAUUCGGUGACGUCACGGGCUCAUACGGAGACGUGGACAGGCCGUGACCUUGUUUUGAUCAGCUGUACGGUAACUUAGCGAUAAGAAAAUAGACUAUUGGUUAAAUAAAUUUAAAUUUAAGUGUGUUUUAGGAGAAGAGGAACUUUCAGUAUAUUCCUUAAGAUGAGCUGAGCAGCAGUCCAGUUUACAAGAUGACAAGAGUUCGAGAGACAAGAUACAAGAUCACUGAAACAAGAGCCAAGACUGAAGAUUCAAGAGAAGAGAAAGCUGGCAGCCAUGGACUUACAAGUGGAGAUUAAUAAGGUCAUGUAAAGUUUUAUUUUUUUUUAUGGAAGACAGUAACUGGAGUUUUUUUUUGUUAUAAACAUUAUUUACAGAACUUUUUAGGUUAUAGUAAUGUAAUGGAACUAGUGAGUUGUGGUAGCUGUCAAAAAGAACUAAUACCUUAAGUUUAAUUUUUAAAGUUAAUUUUCUUAAUUUACAGAGGGAUUAGUAGUUUUUUUUAAACCUUAUUUAGGUUGGAAUUUAAAUACAAUAGCUUAUUAUAAAUGUGUACGAACAGUUCAAGUUCACAGUACUGAUAGGUAGGUCAGAUGAUCUUAUUGAUUUUGAUGAUUUGUUGUUUUGAGUUGAUUUUUAAGUGUUGUGAAUUAGACAAUGAAAUAGUUCUGAAAACUUAAAUUAUUUCAAGCUAAGAAAUAGUAAAGUUAAUUGUAACUCAAAGGACACCAGAAUUUAAUUUUUUUUUUGAAUUAGUAAUGUUUGAAAAUUUUAUACUUUACAAGAAAGGUUAUAAACAAACAGAUCGGAUGGAACAAGGAUGCAGUAAAUCACAAUUUCAUUUAGAAUUAUUGAUUAGCUUUUGAGGUUAUGAAGUAAAAGUAAUUAUAGUUUAAAAGUUUGAAUAAAAAAAAAAAUGUUUUUUUUUAUUUGUUUGAAAUAGAAAGUUUAAAAGUUAAUUAGUCAUGAUCUAGGUGGGUGAUGGGGUGGGAAUUGGCCACUCUUUUUCCCUAUAACCUCCCUAACAUGGCCUUCUAUUACAACUAACAGAAAUAAAGAAGAAGAAAAAUGAAGAAUUAUUAGUUAGAAUGUUUCUUUCAUGAAGAUACCUGAUGAACUUUUACUGUUUGGAAGAAUAGAAGCAAGAUUAAUCAGAUGUUUUACUCAGAAGAAGAAGAAGAAGAAGAUAAAGCAGUUUUAUGACUCGACAAGCCAGAGAUUGGUGUUUCCCCUCUGCGCUUCUAUUGACUACGUUGUUUACUCUCAUGGGAUAGCUGGUUCGGCACCAUGGAGAGAGAUUGGUGGGCAUUGUGGUUGCCCCCAGAAGAAAAGAAGAGUAGAAGAGGUUAUGGGUGGGUCAUGUGAACUGACCUUCAACCCAGUUACUUCGUGGGGACUAUUUGCUGUAUAGAGAAGAUCAAGACUCAAGAGUUAGGGAAAAUCAUUGGAGGUCAUGUUUCCCUUCCUUAAGUUUUUCCUAUCAAAUUAUUUGCCUGAUUAGAUUAUGCUAAGGGUGGGAUACUUUAUGUUAGCAGUUGAAUUAAUUAAUUUUAUUUUUUUGUGUGUUUGCAUCCUUGCCCAUCGAUUGCAGUUUAGUAGUUAGUUUUGUAUUUGUCAGGCGUGAUGGUAAUGCCUGUUGAUGAUGUUUCAGAAUUGUAAUCUGUUCGUGAUGAGGAUGGCACAACUCCGAAGCAGAUGUGGGGAGAAGUUGUGAGCUGCCCUGGAAGCCAGUCCAGUAGCUGUUGGAGUUGAGUGGUGUUUGCUGAUGGCCAGCCCAGGGAGCUACUCUUCUCGACAACACUGACUUCGAGGAGUUGCACCAACCUUCAAGAGAUAAGAGUUUAAUUAAUUGAAACACUGUAAGGACACUUAAUUUUUUUUGAAGAACGAAAGAAGUAUGGUAAUAAACGGAAACCGAAAAAAAAAAAAAAUAAUAAUAAUUAUCAAGAAUUUGCACAUUGUUUAACGAAUACUGAGAAACUAAGAACAGUAAUUUAAUUUGUAAAGAGAGCUUCACUAACAGAACAAUUUUUUUUAGAAUUGAGAACUCGAGCCUCUGAAGGUCCCUGUGAGAACAAACCAGAUAAAAGUUUUACAUUUAAUUUUAUGAAUACUUGUUGUUUUAAAAUAAAUCUUAUGCAGAAUCUAGAUGUAUGUUCAGACAGCAAGGAACUAAGAAAAUUAUUAUUUUUGUGAAAUGAGGAAUUUAUAGUUAUGGUUUAAUGGAAAAAGACAAUUUGUAAUUUUGAGGUAGCUCGAUGGGGCUCGAGCUCUGUGAGGGGAGGGUUAUGUCGCGGGUUGAAAUUUUGCAGGGUUGUUGAAAUCAAAUUUAGGGACUUUACUGACGGGACUCUGGGCUGGCUGCUCUGUUCACUAGUCAGCGCAAGUGGCGUGACCAUGUAAUUGGGGCACGGGGCCGGCGCGGCGCGCUGCGGGCUUGCAGAAUUUUGUUUGUUUGUUUGGCCGCGCGCUGGCGCAGCCACGGGCCGCAGUUACUGGGGCGCGCUGUCGUAACAAGCCGCGCGGUGUGGCCUGCACAUUGGGGUAGAGGGGGGGUAGUCUUCCCAGAUGUUCUAGUUAGUUGUUUAGUAAAUUUGACUUCAAUAACGAGCUUUUGUUAUGGUAGGCGCGGCAGGGCGCGCGAAUUUAAGCGCAAGUGAGUGGUGACUCGGGGCUCACUCAGGCGGAGGCUAUGCGUCUCACCUGUGGUCACGAGUUGUUAGUUCGUUCGUGAUGUAGGAAUUCAAGCUUUCGGGCGGAAGCUAUGGCCGACGCCAGAGGCCACGAGUCGUUUAAUUUAAGUUAGGUCAUAAUGUAGUCAUCUUCAAGCUUUCGGGCGGAGGCAAUGGUCGACGCCAGAGGCCACGAGUCGUUUAAUUUAAGUUAGGUCAUAAUGUAGUCGUCAAGCUUUCGGGCGGAGGCUAUGGCCCUCGUCAGGGGUCACGCGUCAUAGUUUUUAAAAUGUAAUGUUCGUUCGGGAUUUCAAGGGCAGGAGAGGCCCCUACGUUAUUUUUUUAAAGUAAUCGAUCAAGAAAGGCUUUUCGGAAAAUGUGAGUAUGGACUUAUCUUUGUUUUAAUUUUAAGUAUUAAUUAUGAUUUGAGGUAUUCGGAAGGACUAGGGAAGUGUUGAGUGAAGUUCUCUCAUUCUCUCUCUUGUAAGGUCGUUCAAUCGUUAAGGAAGUAAAGAGAUUAUUGUUUUAAAUUGUAAUCCCGCUAUUUAAAUGUUCUUUAAAAUGAUGUUGAGUAUUUGACUUUAAGAAUAAAAUAAUUUUAAUUAA